GGCAAUGGGGAAAGGAGAGAAGGUUGCACUCCCCUUGACAAGGAUGGAAGUGGCUGCUCGACCUUCACAGCACACGUACAAUUAAGGCAUUGCCCCACCUACCUUGUGGCAUCUCCAGCCAGUUUAACUAUUC